GAUCUUCUCAGCUUAGCGGCUGAAGACUGACACUGCCCGAACGCCUCGGAAGCCCCCUAGACCAUCACGGAUGCUGAGCUUCCGGUAACUUUCACAGUGGAAGACUCAGCCCACCUGCACCCAGGUGAAAUAAACAGCCAUGUUGCUCACACAAA